rnacentral:lncRNA from 1 species
UUUAUGGAAAAAAAAAAAAGAAAAGACAAAAGAUUUGGGAAUAAAAAAUAGAAAAAUAAAAUUUUUAAAACGACGAAAAAUUAAAAUAAGAAAAAAAAUUAAAGCAAAAGAAAAAAGAUAAAUAAAGCAUGAAAAAAGAAAAAAAAAACAAAAAUACAACAAAAAAUUAUAAAAGGUAAGAAAAUGAAAGAGGACAGAAAAUGAAUAAAAAUUUCAAAAAUGAAAUGGAAUGACAAAAUGAAAAUAAAAUUAGUUUAAAAAAUAAAAAAAAAUUGAAAAACAUAUAAGACCUAACAAUAUAAAAAGUCAGACAAAAAAUAAAAAAAAGAGAAAAGUUAAUGCAAAAUAAAAAAAAGUAUGAGAAUUUAAAAGCGCAAAUAAGAAAUGAAAGGAAAUUUGAGGAAAAAAAGAGACAAAAGAUUUGGAAUAAAAAAUAGAAAAAUAGAAAAUUUUAAAACAACAAAAAAAAUUAAAACAAGUAAAAAUGAAAGCAUAUGAAAAAAAAAAGCAAAAAGAAGGCAAAUUAUGAAGGGAAAAAGUUAUUAAAAAAUUACAAAGUAGAAAAAAAAGAAAAUAAAAAAAUAAAUUAAGAGAAAAAAUUAAAUAAAAUACCAAAAAAGGAAAAAAUAAAAAUAAACAAAUUAAGAAAAUAAAAAAUUAGCGAAUCAAAAAAUAUAAAAAGACAAAAUGAAUAAAAAUUUCAAAUAUAAAAUGAAAAAAACUAUUGGUUCAGAAUGUACAAAGAAAAAUAAAAAAAAUAUAACAAGCAGAGGAAAAAGAUAUAAAAUAUGAAAGAUGAAAAAUAAAAUAAAAGAAAGUGCACAAAAAAAGAAGUUUGAGGUUUUAAAACUAUAAAGAAGAAAUAAAAAAAGGUGUGAACAAAAAGAUUUAAGAAAAAAAAAAGAAAAUACAAAAUAUAUAAAAUAAAAUUUGAGAAAAAGAAGAAAAAAAUAAAAAAUGAAGAGGCAAAAAUAUGAAAUAAAAGAAAAAGAAAAAAUUUAUAGAAAAUUUUAAAACAAAGAGAAAAGUGAACAAAAAAGAAUGAUGGCAUAUAAAAAAAAAGUAAAAAAAAGAAGAAAAAUUUGGAAGGAGAAAAAGUUAAUGAAAAAAAUAUAAAAAUGCAAUAGAAAAUAACCAAGAAUGAUAAAAGAAAAAAAGAUAGAAAAGUAAAAAAUUCUAAAACUUUAUAAAAAUUUAUGAAAUUAUAAAUAAAGAAAGAAAAUAAAAAAUAAAAUAAAAUAAGAAAAAAAGUAAAGCAAAAGAAAAAAGAUAAAUAAAGCACAAAAAAAACAAAAAUACAACAAAAAAUAUAAAAAGUAAGAAAAUAAAAAAAGGACAAAAAUUGAAUAAAAAUUUCAAAAAUGAAAUGGAAUGACAAAAUGAAAAAAAAAUUAGUUUAACAAAAAAUUGAAAAACAUAUAAGACCUAAUAAUAUAAAAAGUCAGAGAAAAAAUUAAAAAAGAGCAAAGUUAAUGCAAAAUAAAAAAAAAAAGUAUGAGAAUUUAAAAACGCAAAUAGGAAAUGAAAGGAAAUUUGUGGAAAAAAAAAAGAAAAGACAAAAGAUUUGGAAUAAAAAACAGAAAAAUAAAAAUUUUUAAAACAAUGAAAAAUUAAAACAAGUAAACACGAAAGCAUAUGUAAAAAAAGCAAAAAGAAGGAAAAUUGUGAAGGGAAAAAGUUAUUAAGAAAUUACAAAGUAGAAAAAAAUAAGAAAAUAAAAAAAAUAAAUUAAGAGAAAAAAUUAAAUAAAAUACCAAAAAAGGAAAAAAUAAAAAAUUAACGAAUCAAAAAAAUAUAAAAAGACAAAAUGAAUAAUCAAAUAUAAAAUGGAAAAAACUUUUAGUUUAGAAUUUACAAAGAAAAAGAAAAAAAAAUAACAAAUAGAGGAAAAAGAUAUAAAAUAUGAAAGAUGAAAAAUAAAAUAAAAGAAAGUGCACAAAAAAAGAAGUUUGAGGUUUUAAAGUUAUAAAGAAGAAAAAAAAAAAGGUGUGAACAAAAAGAUUUAAGAAAAAAAUAAAAAAUGAAAAUACAAAAUAUAUAAAAUAAAAUUUGAGAAAAAGAAGAAAAAAAAUAAAGAAUGAAGAGGCAAAAAUAUGAAAUAAAACAAAAAGAAAAAAAAUUAUAGAAAAUUUUAAAACAAAGAAAAAACUGAACGAAAAAGAAUGAAAGCACAUAAAAAAAAGUAAAAAAAAGAAGAAAAAUUCGGAAGGAGAAAAAGUUAAUGAAAAAUUAUAAAAAUGCAACAGAAAAUAACCAAGAAUGAUAAAAGAAAAAAAGAUAGAAAAAUAAAAAAUUCCAAAACCUUAUAAAAAUUUAUGAAAUUAUGAAUAAAGAAAGAAAAUAAAAUAAGAAAAAAAAUUAAAGCAAAAGAAAAAAGAUAGAUAAAGCACGAAAAAAGAAAAAAAAAAACAAAAAUACAACAAAAAAUUAUAAAAAGUAAGAAAAUGAAAAAGGACAAAAAUUGAAUAAAAAUUUCAAAAAUGAAAUGGAAUGACAAAAUGAAAAAAAAAUUAGUUUAAAAAAUACAAAAAAUUAAAAAACAUAUAAGACCAAACAAUCUAAAAAGUCUGACAAAAAAUUAAAAAAGAGAAAAGUUAAUGCAAAAUAAAAAAAAAAAGUAUGAGAAUUUAAAAACGCAAAUAAGAAAUGAAAGGAAAUUUGUGGAAAAAAAAAGAAAAGACAAAAGAUUUGGAAUAAAAAAGAGAAAAAUAAAAAUUUUUAAAACAACGAAAAAAUUAAAAAAAGUAAAAAUGAAAACAUAUGAAAAAAAAAAAGCAAAAAGAAGGAAAAUUGCAAAGGGAAAAAGUUAUUAAAAAUUUACAAAGUAAAAAAAAGUUAGGGAAUCAAAAAAUAUAAAAGGAAAAAAAUAAAAAUAAACAAAGUAAGAAAAUAAAAAAUUAGGGAAUCAAAAAUAUAAAAAGACAAAAUGAAUAAAAAUUUCAAAUAUAAAAAGAAAGUGCACAAAAAAAGAAGUUUGAGGUUUUAAAAUUACAAAGAAGAAAUAAAAAAAGGUGUGAACAAAAAGAUUUAAGAAAAAAAUAACAAAUGAAAAUACAAAAUAUAUAAAAAAAUAUUUGAGAAAAAAAUGAGAAAAAGAAGAAAAAAAUAAAAAAUGAAGAGGCAAAAAUAUGAAAUAAAACAAAAAGAAAAAAAUUUAUAGAAAAUUUUAAAACAAAGAAAAAAAAUACAAAAAAAGGACAAAAAUUGAAUAAAAAUUUCAAAAAUGAAAUGGAAUGACAAAAUGAAAAAAAAAAUUAGUUUAAAAAAGACAAAAAAAAAUUGAAAAACAUAUAAGUCCUAACAAUAUAAAAAGUCAGACAAAAAAUUAAAAAAGAGAAAAGUUAAUGCAAAAUAAAAAAAAGUAUGAGAAUUUAAAAAUGCAAAUAAGAAAUGAAAGGAAAUGUGUGGAAAAAAAAAGAGAAGCAAGAAAAGACAAAAGAUUUGGAAUAAAAAAUAGAAAAAUAAAAAAUUUUAAAACAACGAAAAAAUUAAAACCAGUAAAAAUGAAAGCAUAUGAAAAAAAGCAAAAAGAAGGAAAAUUGUGAAGGAAAAAAGUUAUUAAAAAAUUACAAAGUUGAAAAAAAAAAAUUAAGCGAAAAAAUUAAAUAAAAUACCCAGAAAGGAAAAAUAAAAAUAAACAAAGUAAGAAAAUAAAAAAUUAGCGAAGCAAAAAAAUAUAAAAGACAAAUGAAUAAAAAUUUCAAAUAUAAAAUGGAAAAAACUUUUAGUUUAGAAUGUAGAAAGAAAAACAAAAAAAAAAAAAACAAAUAGAGGAAAAAGAUAUAAAAUAUGAAAGAUGAAAAAUAAAAUAAAAGAAAGUGCACAAAAAAGAAGUUUGAGGUUUUAAAAUUAUAAGAAGAAAUAAAAAAAGGUGCGAACAAAAAGAUUUAAGAAAAAAAUAAAAAUGAAAAUGCAAAAUAUAUAAAAUAAAAAUUGAGAAAAAGAAGAAAAAAAUAAAAAAUGAAGAGGCAAAAAUAUGAAAAAAAAAUAAAAAGAAAAAAAUUUAUAGAAAAUUUUAAAACAAAGAAAAAAGUGAACAAAAAAAAAUGAAAGCACAUAAAAAAAAAGUAAAAAAAAGAAGAAAAAUUCGGAAGGAGAAAAAGUUAAUGAAAAAUUAUAAAAAUGCAACAGAAAAUAACCAAGAAUGAUAAAAGAAAAAAAGAUAGAAAAAUAAAAAAUUCCAAAACUUUAUAAAAAUUUAUGAAAUUAUAAAUAAAGAAAGAAAAUAAAACACGAAAAAAAAUUAAAGCAAAAGAAAAAAGAUAAAUAAAGCACAAAAAAAAAAAAGUAAGAAAAUGAAAAAGGACAAAAAUUGAAUAAAAAUUUCAAAAAUGAAAUGGAAUGACAAAAUGAAAAAAAUUAGUUUAAAAAAUACAAAAAAUUGAAAAACAUAUAAGUUCUAACAAUAUAAAAAGUUUGGGAAUUUAAAAACACAAAUAAGAAAUGAAAGGAAAUUUAUGGAAAAAAAAAAAAGAAAAGACAAAAGAUUUGGAAUAAAAAAUAGAAAAAUAAAAUUUUUAAAACGACGAAAAAUUAAAAUAAGAAAAAAAAUUAAAGCAAAAGAAAAAAGAUAAAUAAAGCAUGAAAAAAGAAAAAAAAAACAAAAAUACAACAAAAAAUUAUAAAAGGUAAGAAAAUGAAAGAGGACAGAAAAUGAAUAAAAAUUUCAAAAAUGAAAUGGAAUGACAAAAUGAAAAUAAAAUUAGUUUAAAAAAUAAAAAAAAAUUGAAAAACAUAUAAGACCUAACAAUAUAAAAAGUCAGACAAAAAAUAAAAAAAGAGAAAAGUUAAUGCAAAAUAAAAAAAAAGUAUGAGAAUUUAAAAGCGCAAAUAAGAAAUGAAAGGAAAUUUGAGGAAAAAAAGAGACAAAAGAUUUGGAAUAAAAAAUAGAAAAAUAGAAAAUUUUAAAACAACAAAAAAAUUAAAACAAGUAAAAAUGAAAGCAUAUGAAAAAAAAAAGCAAAAAGAAGGCAAAUUAUGAAGGGAAAAAGUUAUUAAAAAAUUACAAAGUAGAAAAAAAGAAAAUAAAAAAUAAAUUAAGAGAAAAAAUUAAAUAAAAUACCAAAAAAGGAAAAAAUAAAAAUAAACAAAUUAAGAAAAUAAAAAAUUAGCGAAUCAAAAAAUAUAAAAAGACAAAAUGAAUAAAAAUUUCAAAUAUAAAAUGAAAAAAACUAUUGGUUCAGAAUGUACAAAGAAAAAUAAAAAAAAUAUAACAAGCAGAGGAAAAAGAUAUAAAAUAUGAAAGAUGAAAAAUAAAAUAAAAGAAAGUGCACAAAAAAAGAAGUUUGAGGUUUUAAAACUAUAAAGAAGAAAUAAAAAAAGGUGUGAACAAAAAGAUUUAAGAAAAAAAAAGAAAAUACAAAAUAUAUAAAAUAAAAUUUGAGAAAAAGAAGAAAAAAAUAAAAAAUGAAGAGGCAAAAAUAUGAAAUAAAAGAAAAAGAAAAAAUUUAUAGAAAAUUUUAAAACAAAGAGAAAAGUGAACAAAAAAGAAUGAUGGCAUAUAAAAAAAAAGUAAAAAAAAGAAGAAAAAUUUGGAAGGAGAAAAAGUUAAUGAAAAAAAUAUAAAAAUGCAAUAGAAAAUAACCAAGAAUGAUAAAAGAAAAAAAGAUAGAAAAGUAAAAAAUUCUAAAACUUUAUAAAAAUUUAUGAAAUUAUAAAUAAAGAAAGAAAAUAAAAAAUAAAAUAAAAUAAGAAAAAAAAGUAAAGCAAAAGAAAAAAGAUAAAUAAAGCACAAAAAAAACAAAAAUACAACAAAAAAUAUAAAAAGUAAGAAAAUAAAAAAAGGACAAAAAUUGAAUAAAAAUUUCAAAAAUGAAAUGGAAUGACAAAAUGAAAAAAAAAUUAGUUUAACAAAAAAUUGAAAAACAUAUAAGACCUAAUAAUAUAAAAAGUCAGAGAAAAAAUUAAAAAAGAGCAAAGUUAAUGCAAAAUAAAAAAAAAAGUAUGAGAAUUUAAAAACGCAAAUAGGAAAUGAAAGGAAAUUUGUGGAAAAAAAAAAGAAAAGACAAAAGAUUUGGAAUAAAAAACAGAAAAAUAAAAAUUUUUAAAACAAUGAAAAAUUAAAACAAGUAAACAUGAAAGCAUAUGUAAAAAAAGCAAAAAGAAGGAAAAUUGUGAAGGGAAAAAGUUAUUAAGAAAUUACAAAGUAGAAAAAAAUAAGAAAAUAAAAAAAUAAAUUAAGAGAAAAAAUUAAAUAAAAUACCAAAAAAGGAAAAAAUAAAAAAUUAGCGAAUCAAAAAAAUAUAAAAAGACAAAAUGAAUAAUCAAAUAUAAAAUGGAAAAAACUUUUAGUUUAGAAUUUACAAAGAAAAAAAAUAACAAAUAGAGGAAAAAGAUAUAAAAUAUGAAAGAUGAAAAAUAAAAUAAAAGAAAGUGCACAAAAAAAGAAGUUUGAGGUUUUAAAGUUAUAAAGAAGAAAAAAAAAAAGGUGUGAACAAAAAGAUUUAAGAAAAAAAUAAAAAAUGAAAAUACAAAAUAUAUAAAAUAAAAUUUGAGAAAAAGAAGAAAAAAAUAAAGAAUGAAGAGGCAAAAAUAUGAAAUAAAACAAAAAGAAAAAAAAUUAUAGAAAAUUUUAAAACAAAGAAAAAACUGAACGAAAAAGAAUGAAAGCACAUAAAAAAAAGUAAAAAAAGAAGAAAAAUUCGGAAGGAGAAAAAGUUAAUGAAAAAUUAUAAAAAUGCAACAGAAAAUAACCAAGAAUGAUAAAAGAAAAAAAGAUAGAAAAAUAAAAAAUUCCAAAACUUUAUAAAAAUUUAUGAAAUUAUAAAUAAAGAAAGAAAAUAAAAUAAGAAAAAAAUUAAAGCAAAAGAAAAAAGAUAAAUAAAGCACGAAAAAAGAAAAAAAAAACAAAAAUACAACAAAAAAUAUAAAAAGUAAGAAAAUGAAAAAGGACAAAAAUUGAAUAAAAAUUUCAAAAAUGAAAUGGAAUGACAAAAUGAAAAAAAAAUUAGUUUAAAAAAUACAAAAAAUUAAAAAACAUAUAAGACCAAACAAUCUAAAAAGUCUGACAAAAAAUUAAAAAAGAGAAAAGUUAAUGCAAAAUAAAAAAAAAAAGUAUGAGAAUUUAAAAACGCAAAUAAGAAAUGAAAGGAAAUUUGUGGAAAAAAAAGAAAAGACAAAAGAUUUGGAAUAAAAAAGAGAAAAAUAAAAAUUUUUAAAACAACGAAAAAAUUAAAAAAAGUAAAAAUGAAAACAUAUGAAAAAAAAAAAGCAAAAAGAAGGAAAAUUGCAAAGGGAAAAAGUUAUUAAAAAUUUACAAAGUAAAAAAAAGUUAGGGAAUCAAAAAAUAUAAAAGGAAAAAAAUAAAAAUAAACAAAGUAAGAAAAUAAAAAAUUAGGGAAUCAAAAAAUAUAAAAAGACAAAAUGAAUAAAAAUUUCAAAUAUAAAAAGAAAGUGCACAAAAAAAGAAGUUUGAGGUUUUAAAAUUACAAAGAAGAAAUAAAAAAAGGUGUGAACAAAAAGAUUUAAGAAAAAAAUAACAAAUGAAAAUACAAAAUAUAUAAAAAAAUAUUUGAGAAAAAAAUGAGAAAAAGAAGAAAAAAUAAAAAAUGAAGAGGCAAAAAUAUGAAAUAAAACAAAAAGAAAAAAAUUUAUAGAAAAUUUUAAAACAAAGAAAAAACUGAACGAAAAAGAAUGAAAGCACAUAAAAAAAAGUAAAAAAAAGAAGAAAAAUUCGGAAGGAGAAAAAGUUAAUGAAAAAUUAUAAAAAUGCAACAGAAAAUAACCAAGAAUGAUAAAAGAAAAAAAGAUAGAAAAAUAAAAAAUUCUAAAACUUUAUAAAAAUUUAUGAAAUUAUAAAUAAAGAAAGAAAAUAAAACACGAAAAAAAAUUAAAGCAAAAGAAAAAAGAUAAAUAAAGCACAAAAAAAAAAACAAAAAUACAACAAAAAAUAUAAAAAGUAAGAAAAUGAAAAAGGACAAAAAUUGAAUAAAAAUUUCAAAAAUGAAAUGGAAUGACAAAAUGAAAAAAAUUAGUUUAAAAAAUACAAAAAAUUGAAAAACAUAUAAGUUCUAACAAUAUAAAAAGUUUGGGAAUUUAAAACACAAAUAAGAAAUGAAAGGAAAUUUAUGGAAAAAAAAAAGAAAGACAAAAGAUUUGGAAUAAAAAAUAGAAAAAUAAAUUUUAAAACGACGAAAAAUUAAAAUAAGAAAAAAAAUUAAAGCAAAAGAAAAAGAUAAAUAAAGGCAUGAAAAGAAAAAAAAACAAAAAUACAACAAAAAUUAUAAAAGGUAAGAAAAUGAAAGAGGACAGAAAAAUGAAUAAAAUUCAAAAAUGAAAUGGAAUGACAAAUGAAAAUAAAAUUAGUUUUAAAAAAUAAAAAAAUUGAAAAACAUAUAAGACCUAACAAUAUAAAAAGUCAGACAAAAAAUUAAAAAGAGAAAAGUUAAUGCAAAAUAAAAAAAAGUAUGAGAAUUUAAAAGCAGCAAAUAAGAAUGAAAGGAAAUUUGAUGAAAAAAAGAGACAAAAGAUUUGGAAUAAAAAAUAGAAAAAUAGAAAAUUUUAAAACAACAAAAAAAAUUAAAACAAGUAAAAAUGAAAGCAUAUGAAAAAAAAAGCAAAAAGAAGGCAAAUUAUGAAGGGAAAAAGUUAUUAAAAAAUUACAAAGUAGAAAAAAAAGAAAAUAAAAAAAUAAAUUAAGAGAAAAAAUUAAAUAAAAUACCAAAAAGGAAAAAAUAAAAAUAAACAAAUUAAGAAAAUAAAAAAUUAGCGAAUCAAAAAAUAUAAAAAGACAAAAUGAAUAAAAAUUUCAAAUAUAAAAUGAAAAAAACUAUUGGUUCAGAAUGUACAAAGAAAAAUAAAAAAAAUAUAACAAGCAGAGGAAAAAGAUAUAAAAUAUGAAAGAUGAAAAAUAAAAUAAAAGAAAGUGCACAAAAAAAGAAGUUUGAGGUUUUAAAACUAUAAAGAAGAAAUAAAAAAGGUGUGAACAAAAAGAUUUAAGAAAAAAAAAAGAAAAUACAAAAUAUAUAAAAUAAAUUUGAGAAAAAGAAGAAAAAAUAAAAAAUGAAGAGGCAAAAAUAUGAAAUAAAAGAAAAAGAAAAAAUUUAUAGAAAAUUUUAAAACAAAGAAAAAAGUGAACAAAAAAGAAUGAUGGCAUAUAAAAAAAAGUAAAAAAAAGAAGAAAAAUUUGGAAGGAGAAAAAGUUAAUGAAAAAAAUAUAAAAAUGCAAUAGAAAAUAACCAAGAAUGAUAAAAGAAAAAAAGAUAGAAAAGUAAAAAAUUCUAAAACUUUAUAAAAAUUUAUGAAAUUAUAAAUAAAGAAAGAAAAUAAAAAAUAAAAUAAAAUAAGAAAAAAAAGUAAAGCAAAAGAAAAAAGAUAAAUAAAGCACAAAAAAAACAAAAAUACAACAAAAAUAUAAAAAGUAAGAAAAUAAAAAAAGGACAAAAAUUGAAUAAAAAUUUCAAAAAUGAAAUGGAAUGACAAAAUGAAAAAAAAUUAGUUUAACAAAAAAUUGAAAAACAUAUAAGACCUAAUAAUAUAAAAAGUCAGAGAAAAAAUUAAAAAAGAGCAAAGUUAAUGCAAAAUAAAAAAAAAAGUAUGAGAAUUUAAAAACGCAAAUAAGAAAUGAAAGGAAAUUUGUGGAAAAAAAAAAGAAAAGACAAAAGAUUUGGAAUAAAAAACAGAAAAAUAAAAAUUUUUAAAACAAUGAAAAAUUAAAACAAGUAAACACGAAAGCAUAUGUAAAAAAAGCAAAAAGAAGGAAAAUUGUGAAGGGAAAAAGUUAUUAAGAAAUUACAAAGUAGAAAAAAAUAAGAAAAUAAAAAAAAUAAAUUAAGAGAAAAAAUUAAAUAAAAUACCAAAAAAGGAAAAAAUAAAAAAUUAACGAAUCAAAAAAAUAUAAAAAGACAAAAUGAAUAAUCAAAUAUAAAAUGGAAAAAACUUUUAGUUUAGAAUUUACAAAGAAAAAGAAAAAAAAAUAACAAAUAGAGGAAAAAGAUAUAAAAUAUGAAAGAUGAAAAAUAAAAUAAAAGAAAGUGCACAAAAAAAGAAGUUUGAGGUUUUAAAGUUAUAAAGAAGAAAAAAAAAA